AAGCUACUGUUUUUUUUCACUUCCUGUACAUUUACCCUGUCUGUCCAUAGUGAUUUUAUGCAGCACCGCUAUUUUCGCGGUGCU
rnacentral:misc_RNA from 1 species